rnacentral:tRNA from 1 species
UGUGAUUAUAGAUUAAUUGGUAAAUCAUUUGCCUUCCAAGCAAAUAUUGUGGGUUCGAGUCCCACUAAUCACAU